ACCGAGUCCAAGACAGAGACAGUAUCGUCACAGUUUUGCAGGAAAAUAAAACCAUGAAUCAGUGUUGAUCAGCGUAUGAUAUGAUAUCAUGGGGCAACCACUGAAUUGAAUAUUCAAACAGUCCACAACUAGGGUAGAUAGGAAAUAGUUGGAUAGAAUUUGCAAGUCAUCUCUCAAUCAACUUGGUAAGGUCGUAACUCGAACCGCUUUUGCUUUGCAGCUCCAUCUUGGAACCUUCCCUUUGAAAAAUUCCACACUUAAAAUGAUAAUAAUAAUUAAAAACAUGACGAUAGUUUCUUAUCAAAUAAUUAUUAUAUAAAAGGAUUGCGUGCGACUUAAAUAAAUUUUCAUAUAAUUGACCGCAUCCCAGUCUAUGAUAUGGAUUGGUUACCAACCUAAAGUAGAAGUGAAAGGUGGCUUUCUGGCUUUAAAUAUUAACCAAAAGGCAGGCAGAGCAAUUGCUAAGCUACCAUGGCUUUCUUCUUCUUCUUUUUUUAUUUUUUAUUGUUGACUCCUUCCAUUGCAAACCCAAAUGCAAAUAUGAUGAAAUUCGUUACUAUCCUUUGUUGUUGUUGUACGCAAAUGUGAUUGAAUAUUUGCAACUGGUAUUGGAUACUUUUAAAAAAAAUUCCAAAAAAAUAGUUCUUAAGAUGUGUUAUUAAGAUACUAACUUUAACUUCAACUUUAUAUAAAAUUUUAGUAAAAGAAAGUAUUAGUUAUUAAUAGUUUUUUUAUUCAUUAACGAGUUUUCUUAAUUUUGUAUGUAUUAAUUAAAUUAUAUUUAUUUUUUUUAAAAUUUUGUAACCUAUUAUUAAUAAUAUACCUUUAAAAUUAAAACAUAAUAAUAUAUAAUUGAUAUCAGAAUAAAUUAUAUUCUGAAAUUAUUUUUAAAAUAUAAAUAUUAUAAUAAUAACUGUUCUUCUCGCCUCAGUAAUAUCAACAAUUGGUGCGAUGAGUGUAGAUUACAUGACUUCUCAAUCCUAAAGUGGCACCUCAACUAACUAAACCAACUAGACCAAAAACCUAACUGACCAAGUCAACUCUUUUGUUCCACUCAACACCGUCAUCUUGAAAUAUUUCUACUAGCUUGAUCUCUACACAAACCUUUUUUUCGACCUCCAUUUUCGCUAGAGCUCAAUUGCAAUAUGUAAGCAUCAUUCUUCUCACUUUGGAACAACUGGCAAAGGCUCUAGAAGAUUAUCUAGCCUCCAACUCUACCACUCUUGAUUCACCAGCAGGAGUAGCUCCACUAGUCACCUUGACUCCCUAGCAAUUACAAUGCAUCAGUUACAGCCUAAUGUGAUUCCUCCUGGACCUUUCGACCAUAUAGCCCACUACUUGUAAGAAAUUGUAACCUAUCUCACAAUUGUACCUUCUCAUCCAAUCACAACUCCCAUCCUACUAGACUAGGGUUCUCACCAAUAAGCAUCAGUUCCUCAGCCUCAUGACUUAGAGACUCAAAAGAAACUGUGACGUCUAGAAGAGCAAUUCUCUUAUCAAGAACGUCCCUUCAAUGAGCAACAACAUAUCCUUGACAAAAGGAGUGCUCAAAAUGAACAGCUUAUUACAGAGUUGAGAGCCGCACGAAAGGUCCCGAGGUAAGAAAACCUAGAGCAUUAGGAGGAGGAAGCUCAAUCUAUGCUCCAAGGGGGUAACGAGCGCAACAAUUUGGAAGGUCUUCACAGGCACAAUGCCGACCUCCCAGCGACAUCCCAACACUCCUAAGGUAAGAACAACAUCUCCAUAGAAAAACAACUCAAGGCUUUCAAGGCAAAGCUGAUGCAAGAGGUAAAAAGAGGGAAGAUCAGAUGAAUUUAUCUACAACUACUCCAAUGAAUCGUUGGUGACAUCCCAUUUCUCUUUUUCUAUUCAUUCAAUUCAUUUCUAUUUAAAUACUUAAUUCAUUUCUAGUUUCAACGAGCUAUCGAAGGGAUUGAUUGGAAAUAUGAAGUUGAGGUUCAAAUGAUUUAUAAUUAAGUUUUGACUUUUUACUUAUUAAUUAUAAACUUAUUUAGUCAUGAAGUCAUUCCACUAGAUUAUCGUGAUUGAGCUCUUCCCAACGACAUACCAUUACGAAAGCAACUACUUAGUGCUCGUUCAAUGACUUUGUCAUUAGUGUGUUACCUUCAUAGAAUAUUCUUGAUCUCUUUCGGAUAAUAACUAUUCCUAGUAUGAUCAUAUUUUAUCUCAUGGUAACCAUUACAUCUUCCUUCAUGAAAAGUCAAUCACUAUCAAUUAGUGAUCAAGUCAUCUAUCACAAAGAUGGACGACUCGUGACCACAUUUACUUUUCAUCAAUCAUGUAAUGUCAAUAAAAGAAUAUUAUUUACCUAUGUUUUGGGCUAUAAAUUUCACUGUUGUACACUCAACGCACUAGUUUUCGGUUCCUUAUCUAUUUGAACUCAGGCUUUUGCUUACAUCAAAGUGUACGAGUCACGUAUACAUAGUUAACCAUCCACUUAGGAUUUAGGUAUGUCAUACUAUGAACGUCACAACUGAAUAAUUCCUUGGAAAAGAGAAAGUUAUCAGAUCAAAGUGUUUCGAAGAAGGCUACGUUAUGCUAGAUUGUUCAUCUCCCCUAGCCAUUUGUAACAAAAUUUUAGUAGAAUGGUGAAAAUAACUCUGAUAGCUACAGAGAACAAAAAUGAUAAAGCGAACCGAAGCGAAAGAACUUCAAAAAUGCAUAAAUCGUUCCAAAAAACAAACAAUGGCUAGUAAAUCGCUAAAAGAAAAAGAGGCAAAGUAAUUUCGAAGAAAAAACCUAGAGAAUAUAUAGAUCUAUCUCUCAAAACAUAUCGUUUUGAAGAAAAAAUGACACCCAAUAGCAACUUACCACCUGUUCUAAAAGACUGUUGUUCAUCAUUAUCACAUAUCGUUUGGAUAUAACGUUUCACUAUAAAAUAAAGCCACCAUUCGAAAUAACAUGGAAAAGAGAAAGUUAUCAUAUCAAAGUGUGUCGAAGAAAGCCACUUUAUAACCCUUCUCUCGAUUCUGGAGGGGGAUAUUAUUAUACCCCCAUCUGUGUUAGGACACAUGGCAAGCCUAGAAAAGGCCUGAACAAUAAACCUACCUCCAGCAAGCCAAGAGGCCACCGGUGAACUCAUCAUUUCGAGAUGACUACUCGAACAACGGAUGGUCUAAUUUUCAUUGGGAACAUGAAGUUGUUUGGUUACCAAAUAUCAUGGGCACAACUACUUUAUUUCAUCAGAGUCAAAAUGAAUGAUAAGAUUUAUCUUGUCACAAAUAUCCUCGUCCAACACGUUAACACCAUAUUACACGAGACCCCUGCUUAUAAAUACCCCAAGAACGAUGAAGAAAAAAUCAACACUUCGAGAAUAUUAAGCCUGCACCCUGUCAACACACUUUCAGCUCUCAGCCUUUACAUUCUCUUUAUCACUACUAUCCAUAACCUCCGACUCUCUGUCUCAACUGAGUGAACCAACCUCCACAACAACUAUUCUCCUUUCUUCAAUACUCUUUUAUCUUGUUGUGCACUAUAUCAACAACAAUAUUCAUUAUUUUUGCAUUAACGUCGUAUGUUAAAUGAUGAAUGAAUUAAUUAAGAAGACUCCAACAUAGAAGAACUAAUAAUAGAAUUUGAAAUAGAAGACAAAAUACAAUCGAUGGUCAAAUAUGGUAGUCAUCGCGAUGUUUCCCAAUGAGCAAGAAAAUAUGGAGGAACUGCAUACUGGUUACAAAUUGUUCCUUAUUUUGCUAUUUUAAAGGAAUGGUAGCUGAUUGUUCAUUUAUUGGCCUUAAAUAGUAUUUGUAAGCUAUAGGAGACUUGAAGUUAUAUGGGAAAAAUCAUUAAAAAUUGUUGUGUACUUAAUUAACAUUAAUAAAUUUAUUAAAAAAUAUUUGACUAUAUAUAUUAUAUAUGAAAUAAAUAACAUGAAGUAAAAUAUAUCAAAUCAAAUACAUAUUCCAAUUUAAAGAAAUAUAUUUUAAAGUUAGUUUGUUGAUAUUGCAAAAAAAAAAAAUUUCCUGGACAAAUAUUUUUACAUUUUUAUUAAGCAUAAAACUAUAGAAAGAUUUUAACUUUUGUAAUUACUUGAUUAAAAUAAAAUUAAAAAUCAAAAUAAAUACAACAAAAGUAAUUAACGUUUGAUGGUUAAUUAAAUUAAGAUAAAAAUAACAUAAUUAAUUUAAUUAAAAUCAAAUCUAAUAUUAAACAAAGUUAGUAAAGAAUAAUUUUCUCAAGAGUAACGAGUAAUUAACUGUUAAUUAUAACGAUCAUGAACAGUUAAACAAAUUGCCUAAUUAAGAGCCAUUAAAGCUGCCCCUCUGUUUUCUUUUUUCUGUUAACAUAAAACACGUUAAGACUCAUAUUAUUAAUUAUUUAACAAAGAUUACAUGAUGCCAAAUGUCACCACUGUAGUUGCUAAAUGUUAAAACUAUAGAAAAAUGAUUUUUUUAUUUUAAUUAAAACUUAAUUUUUUUCAGAUCACAUCAAACAAAAAAAUCAAUAUUAAAUUAAUGUAUGGUUAAAAAUUUAUUAUAGUGACAUAAAGAUUAAAAUAAAACAUAGAGAAAACUAAAAUAUAAUUCCCAAUUGACCCUAUAAAAUAAAAGUGACGGAAUUUUUGUAUUAUUAAAAUUAAUUAAAUAAUAUUAACAUAAAAUAUUGUUUACUAUUUAACAAAUUUAAUUUUUGUUUUAAGUUUUUAUGGUUUUAUAAAUACAAUUUUCAUUUAUAAUAAUAUUGCAAUUAAAAUUUAAUAAUUUUUAAAAUAUUUUUUAUACUGUAAAUAUUAAAUUUAUUUGGUUCUUUUUAAUAAUAACUGAAAAUCAUUUACCACGUGGCGUUUAAAACUAAGGUCAAGGGGGUGAUGGCCUCUGCUUUUUCCUUUUCCUUUCCCCUUCUCUCUAUUACUUUCACCAACUAACCCUCCAACUCCCCCUUUCUUGCCUUUUACUUUUGAUUCAUGUCAUUUUCUCUGUUUUCAAACAUGCCACAUGCCCUCCUUCAACCAUACUUGUCAUUUGCUUCAAUCCAUUAAAUCAAGAAUAAUAAUUUAAAUUGCAUUAAUUGGAUUAAAAAAUUAGAAAAAAAUAGAUUGAAAAAAUGCGAUAAACUAAUUAAAAUAUUAUUUGAAUAAAAUUUAAAUUAGUUUAAAUAUUUAAUUUUGUUAUUGUAAUUUAGGUCAACAACAGGCCUAGUGUGUCGGGAUCUGAGGGGGGAACUACUGGUCUUAAAGACAAUCAUUCACAACAAUGUUUCCUCCCCAUUUGCAACAGAAGCAUAUGCAUGUUUGGAAGGCACAAAAUUAAGGAUUUCACUGGGAGUUCAAUCGAUUAAACUUAUGGGAGACUCCAAAACAAUAAUAAAAAAAUGUCAAACGAUUUUAACAGAUAAAUCAGUGAUUGGAGCCAUUAUCAGAGACAUUCAGAAUAAGAAAUCUUGUUUUCAAGAGAUCAUCUUUCAACAUAUACACAGAGCAGUGAACUCGCAAGCACAUAGACUAGCAAAAGACGCUCUUGAUAGCGGAGAAACCUCUUACCUGAUGGGAGAAGAGCUGAAUCGACAUAGCUUCGCUUUGGAGAGAAGAUGGCCAAGAAAUCCAGACUGAAGGAGAGUUUGAGGGAAAUGAUUUCAAAAGAAGAUGGCAAGUAAAGUUUUAUCCUUUGGAAAUUGUUAUCGUCAGAACGGAUUGGAUUUUGAAAAGACAAAUCAAGAGAAUUAACGGUAUCCAGCUGUAAGGACUGACUGGGGUAAUUAUUUAGGUUCCUUUUUCUUCCUUUUCAUUUAUUGCUUUCCUUUUCC
rnacentral:lncRNA from 1 species